AUUAAAAACCAAUGCCCUUCGGGGCUCUCUGGUGAUUCAUAAUAACUUCUCGAAUCGCACGGCCUUGCGCCGGCGAUGGUUCAUUCAAAUUUCUGCCCUAUCAACUUUCGACGGCUGGGUCUUGGCCAGCCGUGGCGACAACGGGUAACGGAGGGUUAGGGCUCGACCCCGGAGAAGGAGCCUGAGAAACGGCUACUACAUCCAAGGAAGGCAGCAGGCGCGCAAAUUACCCAACCCCGACACGGGGAGGUAGUGACAAUAAAUACUGAUACAGGGCUCUUUCGGGUCUUGUAAUUGGAAUGAGUACAAUUUAAAUCCCUUAACGAGGAACAAUUGGAGGGCAAGUCUGGUGCCAGCAGCCGCGGUAAUUCCAGCUCCAAUAGCGUAUAUUAAAGUUGUUGAGGUUAAAAAGCUCGUAGUUGAACCUUGGGCCUAGCCGGCCGGUCCGCCUCACCGCGUGCACUGGCUCGGCUGGGUCUUUCCUUCUGGAGAACCGCAUGCCCUUCACUGGGUGUGCC
rnacentral:rRNA from 1 species